AUGGGUCACUAUGCUGACAAGUUUGCUGGCAGGAUAAGUAAAGAGCAGCAGAAAUUCUUCUUGAACACAGGUGGUGCCAAGAAUUUUUCAUCUCUGCACCUGUCACUGCGCGAGGCACCUGGGACAGAAGAAAGCACAAGAGGGCUGCUUCCAUCCUACUUGAGCAAUUGGACUUUAAUCAUUUUGGAAUUUGCUCACUAUGCAGUUAAUGUACCUGUUCUAUGGGGGCUCUUCCCUGACAGGUUUGUUCACUUUGUUGUUCCCCUCUUUAACCAUCGUGAACCUGAGAAAAAUGCUUUUUGUGUGGUAACAAACUGUAGGAUUCGUGUUUUGAUUCUCUCAUUUCCACCAUGGGAAACUAGGUAAUGUCCAGCUUAUUAGCGUAAUGCUCAGCACCAGUUUGGCUGGAGGUAAUAAAAGCAGGUUCUGAGCUGGCAGUCAGGAGUCCAGCCCAGAAGAUGACCUCGCACAAAGGGUUUCUGGUUCUCUGGGCCACAGCUUUCUCACAUGUCCAGUGGAGGCAGUGGCCCAGGGCUAUCCUUUCUUUUCUUGAUGUUUUCAGGCUGUAACAAGAAAGUCAACAGCACCCUGGAAUGUGAGGUUCUACCCCUAAGUCAGCUGCUUUAAGGUUGAGUGAGGCAACCUCAGAGUGUG
rnacentral:lncRNA from 1 species